rnacentral:rRNA from 1 species
CUGUGAUGCGGGCGGUUCGCCGCCCGUGACUCUGCGAGAAGUCCAUUGAACCUUAUCAUUUAGAGGAAGGAGAAGUCGUAACAAGGUUUCCGUAGGUGAACCUGCGGAAGGAUCAUUGUCGAGAUCAAAAUAUAUCGAGUGAUUUUGCGAACAUGUGAAUUGAGCGUUGUCCCGUGGCAUCGCAUAACAUUCGUCCGGGUCGCUGUCCCCGUCACUUGUCGGGGCCACGAUGCGUGUCGAAUGAAAACUCAAACCGGCGCAACUACGCGUCAAGGGAAUGCAAAAGAGACACGAGCCCAUAUCGGGCUUGUUGGCGUGGAGUGCUGUUGCGCACCACACGGAUCAUAACGACUCUCGACAAUGGAUAUCUCGGCUCUCGCAUCGAUGAAGAGCGCAGCGAAAUGCGAUACGUGGUGCGAAUUGCAGAAUCCCGCGAACCAUCGAGAAUUUGAACGCAAGUUGCGCCCGAGGCCAGCUGGCUAAGGGCACGUCCGCCUGGGCGUCAAGCGUUGCAUCGCUCCGUGCCCGCUCCAUCCCAGAAGAUGGACGUGGAUGCGGGAGGGUCGGAUGUGCAGAUUGGCUCGUCGUGCGCUUUGGUGCGGCGGGCUGAAGAGUGGGCGAAGUUCUCGUUGACAAUGAGCAGCAAUGGGUGGAUGAAAGUUGUGCCUGUGCUGUAUCUGGUCGGCAUGAGAAGAUAAUCCCUUUAGAUGAUCUCAUACCAAGCGUUCGUCCAUGGACUGCGGCUUGGAAUGCGACCCCAGGAUGGGCGAGGCCACCCGCUGAGUUUAAGCAUAUCAAUAAGCGGAGGAGAAGAAACUUACAAGGAUUCC